rnacentral:misc_RNA from 1 species
CCUAGAGUUGUAGCUGACUGCUCUCUAACCCAUGUCUUUGACAGUACCUUCGUUUCCUUCGGCGGGAUCCGCCAGUUGACGCAGCUGGACCAUUCUCCCCGAGACCCAACUGCAUUGUUUAAUUAUGUAUCGUCUGAGUAAACAAGCUAAUAGAUUA